CGUGUAGGCGGCCUUGCAAGUUGGGUGUGAAAGCCCUCGGCUUAACCGAGGAAGUGCGCCCAAAACUACGAGGCUUGAGUGCCGGAGAGGGUGGCGGAAUUCCCGGUGUAGAGGUGAAAUUCGUAGAUAUCGGGAGGAACACCAGCGGCGAAGGCGGCCACCUGGACGGUAACUGACGCUGAGACGCGAAAGCGUGGGGAGCAAACA
rnacentral:rRNA from 1 species